rnacentral:rRNA from 1 species
AUUGGACGCUGGCGGCAGGCUUAACACAUGCAAGUCGAGCGGGGUGAUGGUGCUUGCACUAUCACUUAGCGGCGGACGGGUGAGUAAUGCUUAGGAAUCUGCCUAUUAGUGGGGGACAACAUCUCGAAAGGGAUGCUAAUACCGCAUACGUCCUACGGGAGAAAGCAGGGGAUCACUUGUGACCUUGCGCUAAUAGAUGAGCCUAAGUCGGAUUAGUUAGUUGGUGGGGUAAAGGCCUACCAAGGCGACGAUCUGUAGCGGGUCUGAGAGGAUGUUACGCCACACUGGGACUGAGACACGGCCCAGACUCCUACGGGAGGCAGCAGUGGGGAAUAUUGGACAAUGGGGGGAACCCUGAUCCAGCCAUGCCGCGUGUGUGAAGAAGGCCUUAUGGUUGUAAAGCACUUUAAGCGAGGAGGAGGCUCUUUUGGUUAAUACCCAAGAUGAGUGGACGUUACUCGCAGAAUAAGCACCGGCUAACUCUGUGCCAGCAGCCGCGGUAA